rnacentral:tRNA from 1 species
UUCCGGCAUAGCUCAGUUGGUAGUAGCGCAUGACUGUUAAUCAUGAUGUCGUAGGUUCGAGUCCUACUGUCGGAGU